CAGCCGCCACGGGAAUACGAAGGGGGCUAGCGUUGCUCGGAAUGACUGGGCGUAAAGGGCGCGUAGGCGGCGAUCAAAGUCAGGCGUGAAAUUCCUGGGCUCAACCUGGGGGCUGCGCUUGAUACUUGGUUGCUUGAGUGGGGAAGAGGGUCGUGGAAUUCCCAGUGUAGAGGUGAAAUUCGUAGAUAUUGGGAAGAACACCGGUGGCGAAGGCGGCGACCUGGUCCUUGACUGACGCUGAGGCGCGAAAGCGUGGGGAGCAAACAGGAUUAGAUACCCCCGUAGUCCCUGUCUCUUAUAC
rnacentral:rRNA from 1 species